AAAGUAAAAUCGGAUCUAGUACUGCUUUAGCUCUUUAAAAUCUGUUACAAGUUAAUAUGCUCAAUAUAUUAUUGCUAGAGGGCCUUACAGUUGGUAAUUGGAAUCUUUUAUUAAUGGUUAUUUUUGUAGAACUUUGUAUAGGCACUAUGAUUCAGUAAAGAAUUUGUCCUUCUUCUCUUAAUUUUUUUUUUAUUUUGGAAACAAUCCCACCUUUGACCCUCAUCUACUCAAAACGAUCAUUUUUACCCACAAUCUGUUUAACAAGUUAUUAUUUUUUUUAUUAUUUCUUAAAUCUUUUUCCUCUUACCUCUCCCCUCCCCAACCCCUUCAAUGGCAACCACACCAUAACCACCACCACAAUGACCUGACCUCCACCCAAAACCCUAAUCCCAUAUGACCUCCACCCUAAAUUCCUAUCCUUACCCCCUCUCACCAAACCACCAAACCCUUGACCCCCACCAAACCAUACUUGAACCUCCCACCUAACCCUGAAACCGUCUAAACCCUAUCAACCUAACCACCCAUGAAAUUAACUUAAAAAAAACACCCACAAAAUCGCGUAACUCAUCCACCCCAGCCACCCUGAAAACUCCUUAACUCGACCACCCUAGCAACUCCUUAACUCAACCACCCACAAAACUCCCUAAGCCCGAGAUACCCAAUCACGCACCCUAAACGUGGUUGCUCUGGUUGUUGUUUGACGGGAGGGGGUGAUGUUCAAUGGGGAAGGGAGAAGGUCUGCUUCAGCGGUAGGCAUGGGGUGGGCCCGGGACUGGGAAGUGGGAAUCAGACGAGAAGGGGCUUUUUUUGUAAUUAGUUUUAUUUUUUGUUUUUUAAUUAUAAAAAAAUAGGACCAAUUAGAAAAUGACACAUGACAAGUCACCUUUAAAAAUCGAUUACCAACCUAACAAACUGGUCUAGUAAUUAUUUUGAGGUGAUAGGGACAAAGGUGAGAUUAUUUACAGAUUACUCAAAAAUGAGAUUGUUUUGAGAAGUAACAAAUGUGGGAUUAAUCAUUUUAGUUUUUCCUUUAAAAAACACUACUAGUUUAAGAAAGUAGUGAAUAUUGCAUUAAAAAAAAUAAAAAAUAAAAAAAAAAAACUGAAUAGAAUCGAAAAAACACCCUUCCUAGCAAUGGACUAAUGUCUAAGUGACACGUAAUGAUUGAAAAGCACAUGCCAAAGUAAAUGGGUUUUGUUCUCUUUUGUAGGUGCUUCUAUUUAUGGGCUACACUAACCUCAAGCUUUAGUGCUUUACAUUCCAGUAUUCCACCAAUAUCUACACUUUUGUUUUUCUCUCAACAAUGACCAAAUCAGUUUUUGCUGUUUUUCUCUUGGCUCUCGUCUCCUUUGCCUUGUUGCAAAAUUUGGUCUUGGCCACUAAUGCAAAGAACCACGUCAACAAGGGUUCAUAUGGCCCGGGGAGUGUGAAAAGCACUCAAUGCCCUUCACAUUGCACAAGAAGGUGUAGCAAGACUCAAUAUCACAAGCCAUGCAUGUUCUUUUGUUAGAAGUGUUGCAGGAAAUGCUUGUGUGUGCCUCCGGGGUAUUAUGGGAAUUAAAGUGUAUGCCCUUGUUACAACAAUUGGAAGACCAAAAGAGGAGGUCCAAAAUGCCCAUAAUUUCAUGAUACAUCACUAUUGUACUCAUCUAUUAUAAUUAUAUUAUGCUCCUUUAUUCUCAUCUUUAUGAUGAUUUAUUUAUCGUAUUAAAGAGUUUAUCUAGUACGGAGUACUCCGA